rnacentral:rRNA from 1 species
UGGGGAAUAUUGGACAAUGGGGGCAACCCUGAUCCAGCAAUGCCGCGUGUGUGAAGAAGGUCUUCGGAUUGUAAAGCACUUUCGACGGGGACGAUGAUGACGGUACCCGUAGAAGAAGCCCCGGCUAACUUCGUGCCAGCAGCCGCGGUAAUACGAAGGGGGCUAGCGUUGCUCGGAAUGACUGGGCGUAAAGGGCGUGUAGGCGGUUUACACAGUCAGAUGUGAAAUCCCCGGGACCUUAAGCCUGGAGC